CUACACUCUAAAUUAUUUGUUUCCCAAAAUAACUUUCUGCUUGUGGCUAGUCAGACAAACAUCAGGCGAAACUGUCAAGUCAGUGAAAUGCGUCUGUCCUUCCCUCUCCUGCUCCAUCUUCCUGGCCCUCAACUCUCCACCCUCUGGCCACCUUCUCCAACCAGGUUCUCCCACUGCCCAUCAAAGUCCCACAUGGCUGUGCAUUCUAAUAGGCCCUGGGGAACCAAGACAGCAUGACCUGAGCCCCCACCAUUAGGGAGUGCGACAUUCAAUUAAAGACGUUCUAAUGCCUUCAACAUAAGUACUGUGGACUUUUACCCGCUAGAUGUGUACUGACCCCUCCUAGUGCCAACACCAUGUUAAUUGGUGGUGACAGAGGUUACAAAGACAGGCUUCCUGACCUCAAAGAGCUCCCACUCCAGCAGUUGCACAAUUACAUGCCGGUAUGUACUGCAGGGAGACAGGAUGUGAGAGCUGGGGUGGGGGCACAGUCUACUCUGCCCUCGGGGGUGUGCCUCUGCUUCUUUUUUCUUCCCUGUUUCUCUCGCAGUCAGGGAGGUAAGCCAAGUGCUGGAGCUACAACCUGCUCUGGGCCCAGAGGAGAGACUCAAAAAGGCCAUGCUGGGUGGAAGACACAAGGUCAAUUCCCAGGAUGGAACUCUAGGCACAGAGUACCUGAGAACGAAGGACUGACGUGAAACUGACCUGAUCCCCUUAACUGCUGGGUGACUUCAGGCAAAUCACCUAACCUCUCUGAGCCUCUGUUCUCAUUUCCUUCAUUCGCUUAACAAACAUUAGGGUGAGAGUCAGAGGUAUAGGUUUUGGGGUUGCCCCUGUCUCUAAACCUGUUUUCAUUUAUAAAACUACACGGGGGUUAAAGUUCCCAGGGGCAAAGCAACUAGCAGUGUCUGUACCUAGUAGGUAUUCGAUGGUCUAGUUUCUGUACCCCCUUCCCUGCCCAGCCCAGUUUCCAUCUCCUAUUCAUCUGAGAUUUAUUUCCCCCCACGUUGUGAAAGUCACUGUGCCUAAAUAUUUUGUUUCUUCAAGGAGUUGCAGCAGCCUGGGAAGUGAGAGGGGGCUAAGCUGGCGGGGCUCUGGACACACAAGUGGGCUCUCCCAGUUUGCAAACUUCAGGUCUUCCCCGAUGCCAUUCGUUUUAACUCAUUUCAACAUUCCAUAAAUUCAAAUUAAUAAAGAGCCAGCCUGAGUCUGAAUCCAAUCCUUCCACAAUAAGGGUUUAUUUAAAGACAAAACAAAACAGACCCAAAGCAGCAACUUCCCAUUUUCAUGUGACAGAUACAUUCCAACUGCAGAUUUAAAAUCUUGGAGUGGGUUUACCACCUUCCUUCUGGAAAGAAACCAGAAUAAGAAGCCAAACAUCACACUUAAGAGUCCUCAUCAAUGGAUCUGGCAAAGUCACAGGAUACAAAAUUAAUACACAGGAAUUGACUGCAUUUCUAUAUACUAGCAAUGAAAGAUCAGAAAGAGAAAUUAGGGAAACAAUCCCAUUUACCAUCACAUCAAAAAGAAUGAGAUACUUAGGAAAAAUACCUACUUAAAGAGACAAAAGACCUGUUCUCUGAAAAUUAUAAGAUGCUGAUGAAAGAAAUCAAAGAUGACACAAAAGGAAAGACAUACCAUGCUCUUGGACUGGAAGAAUCAAUAUUAUCAAAAUGACUAUAUUACCCAAGGCAAUCUACCAAUUCAAUGCAAUCCCUAUCAAAUUACCAAAAACAUUUUCCACAGAACUACAACAAAAUAUUUUAAAGUUUGUUUGGAGGUACAAAAGACCCAGAAUAGCCAAAGUCCAUCUCGAGAAAGAAAAAUGGAGCUGGAGGAAUCAGGCUCCCUGAGUUCAGACCAUACUACAAAGCUACAGUCAUCAAAACCGUAUGGUACUGGCACAAAGACAGAAAUACAGCUCAGUGGAGCAGGAUAGAAAGCCCAGAAUUAAACCCACGCAGCUACAGUUAACUAAUCUGACAAAGGAGGCAAGAAUAUACAAUGGAGAAAAGACAGCCCCUUCAAUAAGUGGUGCUGGGAAAACUGGACAGCCACAUGGAAAAGAAUGAAAUUAGAACACUCCCUAACACCAUACACAAAAAUAAACUCCAAAUGGAUUAAAGGCCUAGAUAUAAGACCAGAUACUAUAAAAUUCUUAGAGGAAAACAUAGGCCAAACACCCUCUGACAUAAACCAUGGCAAUAUCCUUCUCAGAUCCACCUCCUAGAGUAAUGACAAUAAAAACAAAAAUUAACAAAUGGGACCUAAUUAAACUUAAAAAGUUUCUGCAAAGUAAAGGAAAUCCUAAACAAAACGAAAAGACAACCCACAGAAUGGGGGAAAAAUCUUUGCAAAUGAAUUGACUGCCAAGGGAUUAAUCUCCAAAAUUUAUAAACACCUUCUGCAGCUCAAUACCAAACAAACCACCCCAUAAAAAAAUGAGCAGAAGAUCUAAACAGACAGUUCUCCAAAGACAUACAGAUGGUCAAAAAACACAUGAAAAGAUGUUCAACAUCACUCAUUAUUAGAGAAAUGCAAACCAAAACCACUAUGAUGUAUCAUAUUACACCAGCCAGAACGGCUGUCAUCAAAAAGCCUACAAACAGUAAGUGUUAGGGAGGGUGUGGAGAGAAAGGAACCCUAGUACACUGUUGGUGGGAAUGUAAACUGGUGCAACCACUUUGGAAAACAGUAUGGAGAUGCCUCAGAAAACUAAAAACAGAACUACCAUUUGAUCCAGCAAUCCCACCCCUGGGCAUCUAUCCAGAGAAAACCACAACUCACAAAGACACAUGGACUCUGAUGUUCACUGCAGCACUAUAUACAACAGCCAAGACAUGGAAACAACCUAAAUGCCCAUCGACAGAGGAGGGGAUCCAGAAGAUGUGGUCCACACACACAGUGGAAUAUUACGCAGCCAUUCAAAAGAAAGACACACAGCAUUUGCAGCCACAUGGAUGGACCUAGAAAUGAUCCUGCUGAGUGAAGUCAGGCAAUGAGACACCAGCAUCAAAUGCUGUCACUUACCUGUGGAAUCUAAUAAAGGGAUACAAUGAACCUCUUUGCAGAACAGAUACUGACUCACAGACUUUGAAAAACGUAUGGUUUCCAAAGGAGACAGGUUGGGGGGUGGGGGGAUGGGCUGGGGUUUGGGAUGGAAAUGCUAUAAAAUUGGGUUGUGAUGAUCGUUGUGUACCUACAAAUGUAAUAAAAUUCACUGAGUAAUUAAAAAAAUAAAUAGCCGUUUUAACAAGGUGUAUAAUAAAGGGUCUUUAUUCCGGGGCUGGUGAGGGAAGGCAGUUACCGCUCUGGGUCUAGAGGCGGAAGAAAUCCAGGCGCUGCUCCCCGAGCUGCCUCCCUCGGAGACGGUCUCUGCAAAACAGGUGAAUGCUGACUUCAACUCUCAGCGCAGCACACCUCUUGCUGAGGAAGGGUUUUGGGUUUUGUUUUAAAGCAGAAACACCAGUAAGUGUGUCUGGCCCCGGAGCCAGAGCUCCAACAGCCUGCUGGUGUCGGGACAGCCCGGUCGUGCAGUCCAGGCAGGCACCAGCGCUCCCGCCAGCUGGGAAAGGCUGGCCCAGCGCCUCAAGCUCCGGCACCCCUGCGACUCUGGCUGGGCCCAGGCCCCAGCACCUUGUUACAACCGCCAGCCCACCCUCGAGUGAGGUCAUCUGCAGAGAUUCCUUGUGAAAGGCCACGGGGCUGCCCGGCACCCAGCAGCUGGGGUGUCUCGGGGACACUUGGCAAAUUUCUCAGGAGGUCAGCUGCAGCUUUUUGACACGCUCCUCGGACCCGGCACUCGGCGGGCUCCGCGGCCCCACACCAGGCCUGCACCCAGCCAGCCAGGGAGCCUGCGUGCUUCUUCCUGCUUGUUAAAUCCUCACGAAAGUGAACUGCCAACGAGGGCCUUACAGUGUGGCAGGCAGCUUCAGACACUCAGGAAAGAAACCAGACGGGACAGACCAAAGCUCUCAGGGGACUCGGGGACCAGCAGGGUCAGGCAGGGGUGUCUGCUGGCUCCCUCUGCACUCAGGGCUUGGGCGUGGGUGUGGAGGGGUGUGUCCGCAGAGAACCCAAGGGCCCCCAGGGUCCUCUCACCCCUUCAUGUUCCUAUAGGAAGAGAGCUAUGAUUUAUAAAGUAAGUUGAUGUUAUUUCAUUUAAUUCCGACAGCACUGCAGAUUUCCUUGGCAAGAACUAUCCCCUUUUUCCAGCUGAGAAAAAUCGAGGCUAAGAAAGAUCAAGAGGAGGUCCCGUUGUGGCACAGUGGAAACGAAUCUGAGUAGGAGCCAAGAGGUUGUGGCUUUGAUCCCUGACCUUGCUCAGUGGGUUGAGGAUCUGGCGUUGCUGUGAGCUGUGGUGUAGGUCGCAGACGCAGCUCGGAUCUGGCAUUGCCAUGGCUGUGGUAUAGGCCGGCAGCUGUAGCUCCCAUUAGACCCCUAGCCUGGGAACCACCGUAUGCAGCAGGUGAGGCCCUAAAAAGCCAAAAAAAAAAAAAAAAACCCCACAAAAAACCCCAGAAAGAUCAAGAGACUGGCCCCGUCCACAAAGGUGGUUCAGGGCAGAACCAGGAUUACAAGCUGAGCUCCCGGACUCUCGCCCGAGACCGGGGCCGGUCCCCUGCUCCCAGCCCUCCCAGGAGGAGGGCCGCUGCACUGACUGCCACGGUUGACCUCUGGCCCCAGAACGGGCCCCGCUCUGGUCCACCUGCCCGUACCUGCAAAGCUGCUUCUGGCUCCUGAUUCCUCGCCUACUUAUACCCUGGCCUUGGCUUUACAAAGCGCUUCCUAACUCUCCCAAGGAUCAGAAAAGCUCAUUUUGAAACUGAGAUUAGAACCCAGGACUCCCGACUCACUCCCUAAGGACCCAUCUACCUACUGUUACACGCCAGGUGUUAAAUACAUUCUUGUUAGUUAUCAAAUGGAGCCAUCAUAGAAGAGUAAAGUUCUGGUCACUGUGUCACCCCAGGUCACCAGAGCAUGUUGCCACAUGGGAAGAAUGUCCUUUUCACAAACCCCGUCCGUUAGAAAUAACGCAGAGGCAGGCUCUUAAACAAAGGAUAACUUCCUGGAUCCCAAACCCCAAGUUUAUAGAAAGGGUGCGACCACCUCUGUGUAGCCCUGCUUUUCCUUGUGGAAACUGGUGAGGUUCUCAUCAACUCCCUUGAUUCUGACUAAAAGGUCUCUAGUUUCCUCUCGGAAAUAACGAGCGGUGGUAAUUCUAUGAUCGGUUUAAUGUGUAUUUGCGGCAACAUUUAGAGGCAACGAAAAGGGCCUGUGCCGGGUCGCCCACAACCGCUUCCUUGCCUAUCAGCAUGGGGGUCAUGCCCUGUCCUAAAACACACGGGGUUCCAUCCGAGAAAGGAGAAGCUGUCAGCGGUUAGAACACACACACUCUCCUCCUCGCGCUCCAGAGAGAUGGAGACGUGCGGAGAGAGAACCAGCAGCGGGAACCUUCCCACCUCCUCGAUUUCCAUUUCUUAGAAACCGUCUCUGUAGGAGCAUCCCUUCUCACAUUCACGCCCAGAGGCAGAUUCCCGGAGAAGAGAUGGAGGAAAGAGAAGGAAUAAGAGUCACAAAAGACUGGUUUGAGCACUGAUAAUUACAGCAGCUGAAAAGCUUGCCAGAGCAAAGAAGGAGCCUGUGAACAAAACACAACGAGGGCACUUCCCAGAAAACUGCCCAGCCACGAGAUCACCAGCAACAAUGAGGAAAUCACAGCCAAGACCGCAUCUCCGCUCAGCAGACAGGCUUGCAGGAUUUUUCACCUGCACCGCCACAAGCAGCCUCUUUAAAAAGAGCAGUAGGCUCCAUGAGUUCGACAAAGGAGGAAACACAAAAGAUAGCAAGAGACUCUUCUGGAUGCACAGUUCCCAUUCCGCAUUCCGAACUCCACACCAGCAACAGCACAGCGCCAGGGAGGCACAAGGUGGGGUCCUCGGCACCUUUACACGCGAUCAAACCAAUUAUCCACGCUGCAUCCGAGCUUGCAGUCAACACCGACCCGCACCGCCUCUGCACCUCCGGCCCCCAGGACCCUGCCAAAGCCCACCACAGAAAAGCAGCCUUUUUGUGUGAGAACCAGCGAGAGCCUAAGCUGUCAUUACACAGCAAAAACCCAGCGAGAACAAAAACCCACUGGCAGACGGAUGUAGAGAACCCAGAACAUACCUGAAUUCUUCAAAUGCAAACAUGACCUAGUCGGAGACAAUUGCCUUGGACUGUCGGCUAGCCUUUUUGGUUCGGAGGACAACCAUUUAGUCAGUGAGAUGGUGCAAAGUGCAGAAAAAA
rnacentral:lncRNA from 1 species